GCCCGGUAGCUCAGUUGGUUAGAGCAUCGUCCUGAUACAGCGAAGUUUCAGGUUUGAUCCCCAGUCCGGGCA
rnacentral:tRNA from 1 species